CCUCAAGAUAAGAUAUCCCAUUCUUCGGAAAUAAGACCCCUUGAAGACUACAAGGUUGAUAGGCUUAAGGUGGAAGUGCAGCAAUGCAUGGAGCUGAUAAGUACUAAUCGGUCGAGGGCUUAACCUG
rnacentral:rRNA from 1 species